UAGGAAACAUGAGAAGAAAGGAUAAAAAGAUAAUGCUGACUGAUGCACCAACGUGGUGUGAUCGAUUACGUAAGUUUUUUCUUCCUACAAAGUUCAUCGUAUGAUUUAUUUGCUUUAUGCUGCCAUUUGUUCAUUAUGUGCUAUGUUUGCUGGUGGGCCUUCAUGUAGUUGGUGGUUAGCGGCUCGGUGAAAGCUUUGCUUCAUUGAGUUGAUGCCAGUGACCGCAGUAUUCGCAAGCAUCGGUCUCCUCCUUGGAGGCAUCACCAAGGAUUGUGCCCUCACCUUUCGUUUUGGGUGAAAACCCUUGGCCCGACCUGUACCACUGUCGGGAAUGACAUUGACAAAUUUGUUUGUAGUAAUGCUCUAAUAGUCAUGUCUUCAUUAGUGUUCUCUCUUGAUAACGAGACUGAUUGCAACUAUGGUACUGCUAAUUAAUUUAAAUUUUUGUUAUCAUCUUCGAGAGUUUAUAUCUUCAUCAUUUAAUUCAGGUUCGACGAUCUUCCAUUUAGCCAAGUAACUAAAUUGUCAUUUAACUACUAGAAUUAUUCUCGCAUGUGAGUGCACUCUAAAUGUUAGAGGAUGGCAUGCUAUCUAGGCCUCCAGGGUCUGCAAUAAUAGUACGGUCCUAGGGUUUAUACUCCCUCCGUCCGGAAAUACUUGUCAUUGGAAUAGAUGUAUCUAGAUGUAUUUUAGUUCUAGAUACAUCCAUUUUCAUCCAUUUUGAUGACAAGUAUUUCCGGACGGAGGGAGUAUUACUCAAAAUCUGGAUGUAUUUUCAAGUUAAUUAUUUAGGAUUGAUCUAGGUUCUGUUGUUGGUCAUGACUCAGUUGUACACAAGGUGAUAGUUUAGAAUUCAUUGAUAAUGUAAUUUCAUAGAAUGAUUUGUGCCAGUAGUUGUUUUACUCAAAUAUGAACUUUUUGUUGUGUUGUUUGGUACGGACCUGGAGCAUCAUUCUCAUCCACCUAUAGAAGAUAGUAUAGCAUGGAUUAAGAACUACUCCCUCUAUCCCAAAAUAAGUGUAUCAACCAUACUACAACUUUGUACUAAAGUUAGUACAAAGUUGAGACACUUAUUUUGGGACGGAGGGACUAUAUGUAGUUGUGUAUAGUUUCAGUUAUAUAGCAAGCAUUCAUUACUUCCUUCUUUUUAAGCACUUCAUAUAGAUCAGUAAUGAUCCUUCAAAUUUUCUUUUGGUGAACCAUAUGAUAAUGGCCAAUCCACUCUUACGAAGUAGACAAUGGAAAUGUAUUUCACAUGAUGAAAUUUUGGUUUCAGGGGUAAAGAUAUUGAAUGUAUGGCACUUAACUUUUUUAUGGUGGGUGUGUGCCACUUGAUGUGAUGGAGUGACUCCUGGGCGGUGGUGUACAUGUUCCUCCAUGGCAAGGGCCCCCGCAUCAUGGGCAUUCUGACCAAGGUCGUGUAUUUUUGUGUCACCAGGGCGAUCCCCAUGUAACUGAUCCUAUUCCCUUCUAUAUGUAGCAUGGUCAACUUGCGUUGAUUGAUUCAGUAAAAGGGGUGUUGGUUUGUGUUUGGUUUUGUGUAACCUUCUGAAUUCCAAAACUAGAACAUGUACAGUUUAGGUGUGAAGAUGUACUUCAGCAUGUGAUUUGUUCUUUGAAAUUGAAUUCAGACCUUGAGUACUACUUUUGUUUGGAUGAAGGUACGUGCAUGAUUCCACAACUUGAAAAUGGCAAUGUAUAUAAAAGAAUUGUGAUCCCUCUUUCAGUCCAGCCAAAAUGCAUAACACCACUUUGUAUACAUGAGUUGCAAUCUGAAAUCUAUG
rnacentral:lncRNA from 1 species